rnacentral:sRNA from 1 species
UAUUCCCUUAUGGAGUAUAUACUAGAUUUUAACCCGCGGUAUACCGCGGGACGAUUUAUUUUUUUAAAGUAAUAUAUAUUAAAACUUGCAAAUUUUAUUUUAUAAA